GACGAACGCUGGCGGCGUGCCUAAUACAUGCAAGUAGAACGCUGAAGGAGGAGCUUGCUUCUCUGGAUGAGUUGCGAACGGGUGAGUAACGCGUAGGUAACCUGCCUGGUAGCGGGGGAUAACUAUUGGAAACGAUAGCUAAUACCGCAUAAGAGUAGAUGUUGCAUGACAUUUGCUUAAAAGGUGCAAUUGCAUCACUACCAGAUGGACCUGCGUUGUAUUAGCUAGUUGGUGGGGUAACGGCUCACCAAGGCGACGAUACAUAGCCGACCUGAGAGGGUGAUCGGCCACACUGGGACUGAGGCACGGCCCAGACUCCUACGGGAGGCAGCAGUAGGGAAUCUUCGGCAAUAGACGGAAGUCUGACCGAGCAACGCCGCGUGAGUGAAGAAGGUUUUCGGAUCGUAAAGCUCUGUUGUAAGAGAAGAACGAGUGUGAGAGUGGAAAGUUCACACUGUGACGGUAUCUUACCAGAAAGGGACGGCUAACUACGUG
rnacentral:rRNA from 1 species